AUUGAACGCUGGCGGCAGGCCUAACACAUGCAAGUCGAACGAGUGGCGGACGGGUGAGUCAUGUCUGGGAAACUGCCUUAUGGAGGGGGAUAACUACUGGAAACGGUAGCUAAUACCGCAUACCAUCGGAUGUGCCCAGAUGGGAUUAGCUAGUAGGUGGGUUAACGGCUCACCUAGGCGACGAUCCCUAGCUGGUCUGAGAGGAUGACCAGCCAAACUGGGAAUGAGACACGGUCCAGACUCCUAAGGGAGGCAGCAGUGGGGAAUAUUGCACCAUGGGCGCAAGCCUGAUGCAGCCAUGCCGCGUGUAUGAAGAAGGCCUUCGGGUUGGAAAGUACUUUCAGCGGGGAGGCGUUACCCGCAGAAGAAGGACCGGCUAACUCCGUGCCAGCAGCCGCGGUAAUAC
rnacentral:rRNA from 1 species